CAAAGUGAGACCCUGUCUCAAAAAAACUAAAAUAAAAACAGUGCUGAAAGCAAAUAGUGGGAUAGUUUGAAUCCAAAAUUAUUCUUUCCUGAAUUUACAGUUUAUUUCAGAGCAUAAACAAAAGCUGUUGGGUGCUGUUUAUGCUGUUUCCUCAUCUCAUUGAGAAUGAUGAUAGAACUGUCCUGCCUAAUGGAAUAACCACAUAAAGUGAAACUCUCACCAAGGCUCUUGAAUGUUACCUUCUUGUUAAGUAGAAAAUGUUGGGACACUGGAUCUAAACAAAACAAUACAAAACAUGUUCAGUUGACCCAAAAAGGAGAGUGGAAAAAGGAAGUAAAGGAAGGACAAAGACAAUUCCUUGAAGUAUAUAACAAAAUGCUCAGAAGUUGAACCAACUGAUCUGUGGAGCACGGAGGAAAGUUUUGAAGCUAGAAUCAUAAAAUGUUACUGGAAAUCUAGAGGUGGUAAGUUAAGAGAUGCUAAAGUCUCUUAGGAAACAGAAUUGGUGUGGAAUCAAGCAGAUUUCAUAUUGCUCUCAAGGCCCUGCAGUGGCGACAGUGGGGAGGAUUUAAGAUUGCCAGUUCCCGGCCUUAGAAGCAGGAACUCCAGUACCUAAGGGAAGGAUGCUGCAGCCGCGUGUCUGUGGAUACUGAAGGAGCAAUGACUUGAUGGAGAGUCAGCUGAAGAUUUUAUUCAACAAGAAAAAUGUUCUGUAGAGAAAGUACGAAUGGAUCAUGUGAAUAAGUAGGGAAAACACUGUUUAAAAGUUCAAGAGAACAGAAUAUUUUAAAAUUGUAUCUUAGAAUCUGCCACUCAUGUACACAUCUCAGAUGUGCCAGUUUCUCUCCAUCUUGCUCUAGUCUACAACAGUUAAUGAGGAGCAGCAUGUUUGAGGCCACAUUGAGGACAUAUGCUGUGGAAAGUUGUGCCUUGGCCUUAGAGCCACAGAAUUCUCAGUGCUAAUCCCCGCUCACCACUUAAUAGCUGUGUGAGCUUUGGUAAAUCAAGGGAUUUCAAAUCACUUGAUUUCUCUGUGCCCCAAUUCCUUCUUCACCCUCUGGGGAUCUAGUAAAGACUGAGUUAGCACACAGAGAAUAUCUAGCUACUUCAUUAUAUGGCAGCAUAUGGUACCUAUAGAUACUCAAUAAAUAUUAGUUCCUUCCUCAUCUUUCCCUCCUUUCAGUUGCUUCAUUUACGUAAAAAUAAUACAUCUUCUUAUAUUUAAAAAGAAAUAGUUCAAGACCAGCCUGGGCAACAUAGUGAGACCCUGUCUCUACAAAGUAAAAAAUUGGCUGGGUAUGGUGGUGUCCAGCUGUCCCAGCUACUCAGGAGGCUGAGGUGAGAGGAUCUUAUGAGCCCAGGAGUUCGAGACUAGAGUGAGCUAUAAUUGCGCCACUGCACUCCAGCCUGGGCAACAAAGCAAGAACUCACCAAUAAAAUAAAAUAAAAUUUAAAAUAAAAUAAAAUAAAAUAAUUUUAGGCUUUCCAUUGAUUUAGAUUGGCCUUCCUCAAAUCAAGACUGAUCGCUGUUUGUCUAGUUAAUAAGACUAGUUCUAUUCUGAGACAGGGAUGAGAAAUUUGCUUUUAGCUUUGAACUCUGCUUCCAGAACUGCAACUCCAACAUCAGGUCACUUACAGAAUAAGCCCCUUGCUGAUGUGAGAGGUGCUUUUCUAUGUAUGUAUUCUGGAAACAAUGGAACCUGUAGUAUUUGGAGAUAUCACAAAGAACUUAUGGCAGAGGUGGCUACUGUCUACCAAAGAUUCAUAUUUUCCUUCUACCAUGCAGAAUGAGGUGGUUCCCAGCCAGACCGGCACUUCACAGAAGUUCUUCCCACUUCUGUCUAGUGGCCCAGAGGGGCUGGGCCACUUGUCUUCAAUGGCAGUGUCAGAGCAGAGUGCUCUCCGUCCCUGCAGGUGGAUGUUGUGGCAAAUCAAGGCGGCCUCUUCACACUUUUUUUCUUUUCUUGUCCAACAUUGGAUGUUGAUGGUCAGAGUGACUUUGGAAACCAUUUCUUGAAGACGGCAGAGUUUCCAUGAUACCUAAAGGUAAAUAGGUUCCCUCUAGCAACCCACUGAGAUUAAUUAGCACCCUCUGUAAUUCCAGUCCCCAGCCCCACCCCUGCUGCUCCCUGAAGGCAAGAACCAACCUUUAUAGGGAGACCAAUGGAUGGGGAGUAGAGUCUGGUUCCAGGGAAACUGAGCUUGGGCAGCUGCUAUGAGUCAAAUGGUGGGGGUUGAAGAGUGCUGGACCAAGGGUGGACUCCUCUACCCGCUCACUUUAUUGUAAAGCAGUUAGUUUGUUAAAAAAAAAAAAUUGACCUUGCAGUCUUCUUACAUUGGUUUUAGGAGCUUGGGUAAUGUGACUCUGUCCUGAGAGAUGAUCAUUUUCCCAUUUCUGAGUCCUCUGGUGGAGAGCCACACCUAGACAGGGGUAAUUUCCCCAGGACGGGAUGUUAUAUGUUACUUGAGAAUCAGGAUUUAGAGUGAGGACUGUGAAAAUUGUGCAGUUGUUUGUAUAAAACUUCAGGUUGAAGAAUCACUCAGCAAAACUAAACAACAACAACAAUAAACAAAAAUGAAUUAAAAGAAAGUCUGUUAGAUGAUAUCUUGGUAUUCAAGCCAUCAUCCCCUUAAAAUAACUAUCAACUCCUAAGUAGUAAAUGGGAGAUGAGUGGAAAAUUCUAAAAUGCCCUGUUUGCCAGCAGAUUGUUUUCCAUUCUUUUGUAAUAUUUGGCAUCUAUAAACCUUAGUUCAUGUUGGGCAAUGUGCUUUUUCAGAAGAUUAAGAAGAUGGCCAAGUUGCACCUAAAAGGCAUCCUGUAGGAUAAAUCUCCACAUCAUGCACCUCCACUGCAAUGAAGCCUCACAGUUGCUUUUGAAAAGUAUGAGUUUCUACAGUGAGCAAACAAAAUAAUGCAUAGUUCAAAGCACUUUGUAAACUAUGAAGGAUUAUACAAAUGUCAGGUAUUAUUAUUACAGAGCAAUUUUGUCUUUUUCUUUGAAAUGUUUUUUAAAUCCCUGAUAAUGUAAAGAUGUGGGUCCAUCAUGUCAUAAUGUAAGAACUCUGUUCAUUUCUCUGUAACUUAAUUUUGUAAAUUUUCUUUCUUUUUGAAUACCCCAAACUGCCCCCUCCCCUAAAUACACACACACACACACACACACACACACACACACAGCCCAAAGGGCUACUAAAUACUAAAAAUUUAAAAAGUAAUUCUGCUACUAAAUACUAAAAAUCAAAAAUGAUUAUAUUAAAACAACCUAACAUUGCAUAGCUACCAAAUCCUUCCCGUGUUGAGUAAGGAAAGGGGAUGCAUUUGUAUUUUUCACAGUACCUAUGAUGGUUUGCUAUGUAGUAUCAUGUGCAGCACAGUCACUCAAGUCAACACUGGAGAACUGAAAGAAAUAAUCGAACAUCAAGCAAGUGCUUUUUGGUAUAGCAGACAAACUCUGUGUGUACAGCAGUAGCAGGUGCGAUAAUUUCAUUGUGUUUCACACUUUUGAGGUUGGAGUUACCCUUUCCCGAGGGCAGGUGUGGGGCCCACUGAAACGGCACAGUCAAAGGCAUGCAUGGUCUGCUCCCCAGGCUGGCUGUAGGAGUAGUGAGAUGCAGUCAUUGCUGUUGUUGAAAAUUAUAAGUAUUUUGAGAUGUUUGAUCUUUUUAUUUAAACAAAAAGGUUCUCCUGUAGGUGGGAGGCCAAAUCUAUGCAGCAGAUGUAGCUGGGUAGGGGAAGUUGAUAGUGACUGACGUGGUGAUGGUGGUUUACAGUUUAUUUUAGGUGCAUUUACACACAUGAGUUUUCUAUUUUCUUUUUGAAGAUAAGGAAAAUAGAUUUAAAC
rnacentral:lncRNA from 1 species